rnacentral:rRNA from 1 species
UACGUAGGGUGCGAGCGUUGUCCGGAAUUAUUGGGCGUAAAGAGCUCGUAGGCGGUCUGUCGCGUCUGCUGUGAAAACCCGAGGCUCAACCUCGGGCCUGCAGUGGGUACGGGCAGACUAGAGUGCGGUAGGGGAGAAUGGAAUUCCUGGUGUAGCGGUGGAAUGCGCAGAUAUCAGGAGGAACACCGAUGGCGAAGGCAGUUCUCUGGGCCGUAACUGACGCUGAGGAGCGAAAGCGUGGGGGAGCGAACAGG